rnacentral:rRNA from 1 species
GAGUUUGAUCCUGGCUCAGAUUGAACGCUAGCGGGAUGCCUUACACAUGCAAGUCGAACGGCAGUACGGACUUCGGUCUGGUGGCGAGUGGCGAACGGGUGAGUAAUGUAUCGGAACGCGCCCAGUAGCGGGGGAUAACUACGCGAAAGCGUAGCUAAUACCGCAUACGCCCUACGGGGGAAAGCAGGGGAUCGCAAGACCUUGCACUAUUGGAGCGGCCGAUAUCGGAUUAGCUAGUUGGUGGGGUAACGGCUCACCAAGGCGACGAUCCGUAGCUGGUUUGAGAGGACGACCAGCCACACUGGGACUGAGACACGGCCCAGACUCCUACGGGAGGCAGCAGUGGGGAAUUUUGGACAAUGGGGGAAACCCUGAUCCAGCCAUCCCGCGUGUGCGAUGAAGGCCUUCGGGUUGUAAAGCACUUUUGGCAGGAAAGAAACGUCAUGGGUUAAUACCCCGUGAAACUGACGGUACCUGCAGAAUAAGCACCGGCUAACUACGUGCCAGCAGCCGCGGUAAUACGUAGGGUGCAAGCGUUAAUCGGAAUUACUGGGCGUAAAGCGUGCGCAGGCGGUUCGGAAAGAAAGAUGUGAAAUCCCAGAGCUUAACUUUGGAACUGCAUUUUUAACUACCGGGCUAGAGUGUGUCAGAGGGAGGUGGAAUUCCGCGUGUAGCAGUGAAAUGCGUAGAUAUGCGGAGGAACACCGAUGGCGAAGGCAGCCUCCUGGAUAACACUGACGCUCAUGCACGAAAGCGUGGGGAGCAAACAGGAUUAGAUACCCUG